GCAGAUGUUAGCGGCGGACGGGUGAGUAACACGUGGGUAACCUGCCUGUAAGACUGGGAUAACUCCGGGAAACCGGGGCUAAUACCGGAUGGUUGUUUGAACCGCAUGGUUCAAACAUAAAAGGUGGCUUCGGCUACCACUUACAGAUGGACCCGCGGCGCAUUAGCUAGUUGGUGAGGUAACGGCUCACCAAGGCAACGAUGCGUAGCCGACCUGAGAGGGUGAUCGGCCACACUGGGACUGAGACACGGCCCAGACUCCUACGGGAGGCAGCAGUAGGGAAUCUUCCGCAAUGGACGAAAGUCUGACGGAGCAACGCCGCGUGAGUGAUGAAGGUUUUCGGAUCGUAAAGCUCUGUUGUUAGGGAAGAACAAGUACCGUUCGAAUAGGGCGGUACCUUGACGGUACCUAACCAGAAAGCCACGGCUAACUACGUGCCAGCAGCCGCGGUAAUACGUAGGUGGCAAGCGUUGUCCGGAAUUAUUGGGCGUAAAGGGCUCGCAGGCGGUUUCUUAAGUCUGAUGUGAAAGCCCCCGGCUCAACCGGGGAGGGUCAUUGGAAACUGGGGAACUUGAGUGCAGAAGAGGAGAGUGGAAUUCCACGUGUAGCGGUGAAAUGCGUAGAGAUGUGGAGGAACACCAGUGGCGAAGGCGACUCUCUGGUCUGUAACUGACGCUGAGGAGCGAAAGCGUGGGGAGCGAACAGGAUUAGAUACCCUGGUAGUCCACGCCGUAAACGAUGAGUGCUAAGUGUUAGCG
rnacentral:rRNA from 1 species